GUAUCAUUAGAUAUAUUAUAAAAUAUAUUUUUUAUAAUAUGUUUAUUUUAUGUCUUAAAUAUUGUUAUUCUUUCGUAUAAAAUGAGUUAAAUUUAAUAUAUUUGUUAUAAAUAAAAUUAUGUUAUAAUUUGAUUUAAACGGAUUCUAAGAAUUGAUUUAUCUGGGAGUAUGCGACUUGUGAUGUGGUGGAGUGUGACUGUUCUAGUGGGCUGGGCCGGGCUGCUAGUUGAAGAGGUUAAGCAUUGCUGGUAGCCGGUGUGGUCGGUGCUUUUGCUCAUUGGUUCCUUGGUUUGUCGGUUCGGUUACAUGUAGAAAUUGAAAGGAUGUUUAGUUCCCCUUCUAUUUUAAUUUUUUUUUUGUGUUUUAGUUUAUUAUUUUACAUAAUACAAUUAAACACCACGCAAAAAUUUUGAUAAAAAGAUGGUCAUUCUUUAUUUUUGAUUUUGGUCUCAAGAGGAACUAAAUAGUCCCCACAAGUAUGUUUGUUUUUUGUUGUAAAUGUGCCCACUCCCACUACUAAUCACCUAUAUGACCAACGUCAUGGGUAUUAUUUAUUGUUAUCACGAAAUACGUGUGAAAAUAAAAAUAGAGAACUAAAAAAAGAAAACGUAUAUAGAAUAUAAAAGAAAACGUGUAUGCGGUCGAAACAAAAACAAACAUACAGGUACUCUAGCUUUGAAUGUUCAUGCGUCACCGAAACAUGAUGCAGAUUGCCUAUCAAAAAAAUAAAAAUAAACAUUAUGCAGAUUGCAUGAUAAUUAAGGGGCU
rnacentral:lncRNA from 1 species